UGCCUAAUACAUGCAAGUCGAGCGAAUCGAUGGGAGCUUGCUCCCUGAGAUUAGCGGCGGACGGGUGAGUAACACGUGGGCAACCUGCCUAUAAGACUGGGAUAACUUCGGGAAACCGGAGCUAAUACCGGAUACGUUCUUUUCUCGCAUGAGAGAAGAUGGAAAGACGGUUUACGCUGUCACUUAUAGAUGGGCCCGCGGCGCAUUAGCUAGUUGGUGAGGUAAUGGCUCACCAAGGCGACGAUGCGUAGCCGACCUGAGAGGGUGAUCGGCCACACUGGGACUGAGACACGGCCCAG
rnacentral:rRNA from 1 species